AACGCUGGCGGCGCGCUUAACACAUGCAAAUCGAGCGAGAACCGGGACUUCGGUCCCGGGGACAGCGGCGAACGGGUGAGUAACACGUGGGUAAUCUGCCCUCGAUUCUGGGAUAGCCCGGGGAAACCCGGAUUAAUACCGGAUAGCCUUUCGAGCCUUCGGGCGCGAAAGAAAAGGUAGCUUCGGCCUCCGAUCGAGGAUGAGCCCGCGGUGGAUUAGCUUGUUGGUGGGGUAAUGGCUCACCAAGGCGACGAUCCAUAGCUGGUCUGAGAGGACGAUCAGCCACACUGGGACUGAGACACGGCCCAGACUCCUACGGGAGGCAGCAGUGGGGAAUCUUGCGCAAUGGGCGAAAGCCUGACGCAGCGACGCCGCGUGGGGGAAGAAGGCCUUAGGGUUGUAAACCUCUUUCAGGCGGGACGAAGCCACUCGGGUGAAUAGCCCAGAGGGUGACGGUACCGCCAGAAGAAGCCCCGGCUAACUACGUGCCAGCAGCCGCAGUAAAAC
rnacentral:rRNA from 1 species